CAGUCCAGCAGGUGGCGGUAAUUCAUUUAGAACUUCUUUGCUCUCCGCCAGUAACAACAAUAGAAGAAGAAGAACAAUAACAGCGCGAACUCUUCCGUCCUCUGCUCUUGUUCUGUUUGAUAAGGCCUUCCACACUCUAUAAGAAUAAGCAGUGACGUAAAGAUGGAGUUUAUUAAAGAGGAGAAUGAUGAUGAUACUUGCCAUCAGUGUGGAAAGAGCUUCACAAGUAAAAGAAACCUCAAAGUACACAUGAGAAUUCACACUGGAGAGAAACCGUACACAUGCCCUCAGUGUGGAAAGAGUUUCAGACACAAAGAAUGCUUUAUUAUUCACAUAAGGAUUCACACCGGAGAGAAGCCAUUUUCGUGUCAGCUGUGUGAAAAAAGUUUCACAAGUCGAGGAAGUCUUAACAUUCACUUAAGGGUUCACAAUAUUGAGAAACCAUUCAAGUGCCCUGAGUGUGAAAAGAGUUUUGGACGUAAAGACCACUUCGAUCGUCACAUGCGAAUUCACAGUGGAGAAAAUCCAUUCUCAUGUCCACAUUGUGAGAAGUAUUUUUUUGCUAAAACCAACCUUGAAAGUCACAUACGAAUUCACACUGGAGAGAGGCCGUUCACAUGUGAUCAGUGUGGAAAGAGUUACAAAUGGUCAAAUAGUCUCAGAAUUCAUAAACUGUUUCACUCCGGAGAAAAGCCAUUUAAGUGUGAUCAGUGCGAUAAAAGGUUUGUCCUGGAAAAAGACCUAAAGGCCCACAUGAAAACUCACACUAAAGAGAAGCCUUACUUGUGUUCUGUUUGUGGAAAGAGUUUUGCAUGGCUGAUACGUUUUAAAGACCAUCUGAAAAUACACUCUGGUGAGAAAGAGUAUUUGUGCAAAGACUGUGGUAAAUCUUUUACUGCAGCCACUCAGCUGAAAGUGCACCGCAGGAUCCAUACUGGAGAAAAACCUUACAAAUGUUCACAUUGUGAGAAGAGUUUCAAACAGUCAGGAGCCCUAAAAGACCACGAGAGAAUCCACACUGGAGAGAAACCGUUCCAGUGCCUUGCGUGCGGCAGGAGAUUCACUCAUUCCAAAACUGCAAUGAUGCACAGAAAGAAGCAUUGCCCAAAACUAAAGUCAGUAUGACUGGAGACACAAGAGCUUAAGAGCUCAGCAGUCCAUGAGUGCUGAAAUAUCGCCCUUGUUUUAGUCUGUUUGGGAUUCGAAAUGUGACACACCUUACUGAGCAUGCAUAUAAUAUGAAUGAUGUAGUAAAGUUCAAAUUUUCGUUAUUUUAUUACUUUGAUUCUUCAUACACUUGUAUUGCUGUAAUGGGUUCUUAGAAUUCAAUGUUGCUGAUGAAAAGGAACAAAAUAAGAUCCAGUUUCUGUUAAAAUAUUCUCUUGUAGUGAUGGACUUUUAUUAAAACAAAAAUUCCACUGAGAGCACUGCAACAGAAUCAUUCUUACAUGCAAAUUUGAAUCUCUGUGGCUUUAUAUAAUUGCAAAGCUGAAGGUAACCCUCGGUCCUUGAAGAAGGUAAAACAGAGACGUCUCGUUGCAUGUACAAUGAAUUGGAAUCUUUCUUCGAGAGACCAAUCCACUUUGAGUGUAAACUAAACAAGCCAACGCACAUUGGUAUGUGAUUAUUGCAUCCAGCUGCCGCUGAUAACAGGUUUUUGCUAAGGAGACGAGCUGGUGACCUGUCCGCUCAGCAGUGGUACAGAAGGUGUAGCGACAGGAUGCGA